UAAGCGGAGGAAAAGAAACUAACAGGAUUCCCCUAGUAACUGCGAGUGAAGCGGGAAAAGCUCAAAUUUAAAAUCUGGUGGUCUUUGGCCAUCCGAGUUGUAAUUUAGAGAAGCGUCUUCCGCGCUGGACCGUGCACAAGUCUCCUGGAAUGGAGCGUCAUAGAGGGUGAGAAUCCCGUCUUUGGCACGGGAUGUACCAGGGCUUUUGUGAUGCGCUCUCGAAGAGUCGAGUUGUUUGGGAAUGCAGCCCAAAAUGGGUGGUGAACUCCAUCUAAAGCUAAAUAUUGGCGAGAGACCGAUAGCGAACAAGUACCGUGAGGGAAAGAUGAAAAGCACUUUGGAAAGAGAGUGAAACAGUACGUGAAAUUGUUGAAAGGGAAACGCUUGAAGUCAGUCGCGUCGACCGAGACUCAGUCUUGCCUCGGCUUGGUGUACUUCUCGGCUGACGGGUCAGCAUCAAUUUUGCCCCUUGGAUAAUGGCGAGGGAAAUGUGACACCUUUACGGUGUGUUAUAGUCUUUCGUCGCAUGCAAGGGUUGGGAUUGAGGAACUCAGCACGCGCCCUCGGGCGUCGGGGCUUUGCCCACGAUACGUGCUUAGGAUGUUGGCGUAAUGGCUUUAAACGACC
rnacentral:rRNA from 1 species